rnacentral:lncRNA from 1 species
AUUCCACACAUUGCCUGGAGUAUGAGGGAAGGAGACGGAACCAAGCUCCAGACUAUACUUUUGAGAUUUCUCAAAAACGAGAGAGAGAUGAGCCCUUCCACAGACAUAAAACGAUUCUCCAGUGAAAACAGAGCCCAUUGGUUCAAACAGGAUCAGGAUCAAAUUUGGAGAAGGUCAAAUACUAAGUACUGUGUUUCCUCACUUCAUAUUGUAGUCAGUAUCACAUCCAUGGUCAAUCUGUAAUAAAACCUGCACGUGAAUUACAUGUAUGAAAAUAGACAUUUGGGAAAUGCUUUAUUUCGAAAACACAAUGUCCUGUCUCUUAGCCAAGCACACUUAUUUUAAAGAGUUGGUAUGCAAUUAAUGUAUUUGGAACACAUGACUGAUUAAAAAUAGCAGCACCGUUAAGUUCUAACUUUGUUCUUUUGCCAGUUUUGAAGUUCCAUGGGAACAAAGGAUUUAACGAUCAUAGUAACUAGAUAAAACCGAAGCUUAUAUACGUUUGCCUGCUUUGUCUCAUUUAAUAUGUCCAAAUAUGCACAUGUAACCCAAAUCAGGUCCUGCCACAGGCAAACAUUGUCAGUUCAGUACACAUACAUCCCUUAUUUUAUGGAUUUGCUUACUUUAUUAGAUACAUUUGUUUUCGACGUAACUGGACUUCAUAAUAACAAUAAAACAUAAUUUAG